UAAAGGGUUUCAACAAAACUUUUAAUUGAAGAGUUUGAUCAUGGCUCAGAUUGAACGCUGGCGGCAGGCCUAACACAUGCAAGUCGAGCGGUAACAGAGAUAGCUUGCUAUCUGCUGACGAGCGGCGGACGGGUGAGUAAU
rnacentral:rRNA from 1 species